rnacentral:tRNA from 1 species
UUCCGUGUAUUUAUUUAAGGGCUGGGUUCUUACUCCAGUGAAGUGUUUACACCUCGGAGG